rnacentral:tRNA from 1 species
GCCCCGGUAGCUCAGCCCGGUCGGAGCGCCCGGGGCCUGCCGCGCGCAGGCCUUGUACCGACCCCGCGAGACAGCGGGAGGUCCCGGGUUCGAAUCCCGGCCGGGGCU